UGUAGCUUAGUGGUAGAGUGCUUGCUUAGCAUCCAUGAGAUGCUGGGUUCCAUUCCCAGCA
rnacentral:tRNA from 1 species